GGGCGGCAGCCUGAUGCAGCGACGCCGCGUGAGGGAUGACGGCCUUCGGGUUGUAAACCUCUUUCAGCAGGGGAGAAGGCCUUCGGGUUGACGGUACCUGCAGAAGAAGCGCCGGCUAACUACGUGCCAGCAGCCGCGGUAAUACGUAGGGCGCAAGCGUUGUCCGGAAUUAUUGGGCGUAAAGAGCUCGUAGGCGGUUUGUCGCGUCUGCUGUGAAAACGCGAGGCUCAACCUCGCGCCUGCAGUGGGUACGGGCAGACUAGAGUGCGGUAGGGGAGACUGGAAUUCCUGGUGUAGCGGUGGAAUGCGCAGAUAUCAGGAGGAACACCGGUGGCGAAGGCGGGUCUCUGGGCCGUUACUGACGCUGAGGAGCGAAAGCAUGGGGAGCGAACAGGAUUAGAUACCCUGGUAGUCCAUGCCGUAAACGUUGGGCACUAGGUGUGGGACCCAUUCCACGGGUUCCGUGCCGCAGCUAACGCAUUAAGUGCCCCGCCUGGGGAGUACGGCCGCAAGGCUAAAACUCAAA
rnacentral:rRNA from 1 species